GAUAUUGCUGUAAUUGCAAAGAUAGAGAGCAUUGACUCGUUGAGGAACCUAGAAGAAAUAAUUCAGGCAUCAGAUGGUGCUAUGGUGGCAAGAGGAGAUCUUGGUGCUCAAAUUCCAUUAGAACAGGUUCCAUCAGAGCAGCAAAAGAUUGUUCAGCUAUGCAGGCAGCUGAAUAGGCCUGUCAUAGUAGCUUCCCAGUUGCUGGAAUCUAUGAUUGAAUACCCUAUUCCAACUAGAGCUGAAGUUGCUGAUGUUUCCGAAGCAGUUAGGCAACGGGGGGAUGCUUUGAUGCUUUCUGGUGAGUCGGCCAUGGGACAGUUUCCUGAGAAGGCAUUGACUGUCCUAAGAACUGUUAGCUUGAGAAUUGAAAGAAGGUGGAGAGAACAGAAACGCCGUGAAGUUAUUGAAUUGCCAUCCAUAGCAUCUUCAUUUUCUGAUAGUAUUUCAGAAGAGAUUUGCAACUCUGCCGCCAAGAUGGGUAAAAUUCUAUCUUUUUGAAUACUGAUUGAUUUGAUUUUUAUUGCUUUUUAUUUGUUUUAUAGCCUGCAGAUGUAAAACUACUUUGUCUCUGUUGUUGUUGUGUGGUCUGUGGACUGGACAAGUAAAUGGUGAAAUAGCAAAAUUGUGAACUUUGACAUUCUGCAUGUAAAGCUCUUUUAGCACUUGCCCAAUAUUUUCUAAAGUUAGUAAAUAACCUAAGGAAACUGGGCAUGUUUUUAGCUUAUAAACUAGCAAGAUAUAAACCUGAAAAACUAAGAGUAUUAUCUGAAAUUUGCGUGCUAUGAGGAAUUUUUCUGGGUUAAAUCUGUUCAAUUUUCUACGUCAUUAAAAACAAUUAAAAGUGGAAAUAGUAAAAUCCUCAUAAUCAUGUCAAAGUGAUGAGCUAUCAUAAAUCUAAGAAAUAUUGGUUCUGAUCCGCAGCUAUUAUACCAUGCAUUUUGCUGAGACAGGAUAUCCCUGUUAUUUAAUGCAUUAUUGCUAAAUCCGGAUAAAACAACAAUUAAGUUCUAUUUAUGGUUCUAUGUAGGGAAUGCUGAAAAGUGUAUAGUUAAUGGAACUCAUACUUGCAGCAUGUUAACUUUUCUCUGAAAAAUGUAGCAUUUGGAUACAUUUCAGAAUUGAUAUACCAUCUUAUGACUUUGAACAUGAAUUUUCUGGCUGCAUGAACAUAGAGUAAACACUUCUUUUUUUGGCUUUUAUUACAGACAUGGACUUGUACAUGUUUUUUAUAAAGAUUAGAAGGAUUCAUGUAUAAAUGCAAUUAAGUGAAAACUGGAAAACCCAUUCCCGUUUUCUUUAGUUUCACCCAAUUUUGAGUGAGCUUCUUGAAUUCGUCAUUUCUGACUUUAAUGUUUUACACUAUCUUAGUGUAUCUGUAUGUGUGUAUCUUACAUUCUUAGAUCAACUAUGAAUUGCUUUGCGAGGGUGAGACUGAGAUGUCUAGUUCAAUUCUUCUCUUAUGUGGCACAUCAAAUUAUAGUGUUAGUUUUCUCAUGAACAAGAUGUUCAUGCAAUAUCGAUAAUGCGUUUUGAGUAAGCCUUCAAAAGGGAAUAAACAUUUUUAUGUUGGCUUUAAUAAGGCAUGCACAUAUAUUAUAUAUACACUUUCAAAUGAAUUGAAGUGCAAGCUGGAAAUUCCAUUCCCUUUUUGAUGAGUUUUGCCCAUUUUUAAGCUUUUGCAGAUUGUCAUAAUCUGCAAUAGUAACUUAUAUGUCAUAACAUGCUACUCUUGGUAUAUGCAUGUAUGUGCGCUUCCAUCCUCCUUGUGUUCUUGUGUCAACUUCUAGUUGCUCUUUUAGGAUGACAGCAAGAGGAUUUUUGUUAUCCACCAUAAGUUAGUCCAAUUCGCAGCUACAAGCAAAUGAAAGUAAUAGGGUUGUUUUGUCACUAAAUAGGUGAUCAUUUGAUAAUGCUUAGUCAACAAAGGAGAACUACAGAAGAUUUUAACUGCAGAUGGAAAAUGUACAAGAACAGUUUCUUGAGUUAUUCAAGUAACCAUUAGACUGCUAAUUUUUGGGAUAUCAUAACUAGUCAGUUUAUUCAUGUAAACACUCCAAUUCUACAAAUGGUUCAGAUCUAGAUGCCUUAAAAUGUUCAAAUGGAAAAGGACUCACACAUUAUUUCUAUCGUCUCAUAGAGAGUAGCUCUUUUAGCUAUCACACACAUGCUAUGCAUCUUUGUCUAUAUGCAGUUAUCUAUUUGCUUCUAUGAUGAGAACAUAAGUGAUAAACGAGUGUGGACAAUUGGAACUGGGGGUGGGAGGUGGGAGGGAGAGUAUCCUUGGUUCUCUAGGUAAAGACUCAUUAUACACCUUAUGAUCAAGUCAUUUGGCUGUGUGCCUCUUUUGUUGUCUGUUAAAAUGUCAAAUAUAACAAGGAUAUAAAUUCUUCCAAAAGUAUGUCUAUGUAAACAAUUGUUGUACCUUAAUGUUGUAUAUAGAAGUCAUGUUGACUGUGUGUGUCUUUUGAUAUCGGUCAAAUGCAGUAAGGAUAUAGCUUCUUCCCAAGUAAUAUAUUUAUACAGUAUACUAGGGAGUCUUAUACAAUUUAGUAUGUUCUGCAAUCUACUUUUAGGGGGGCAUAUACCAAAUGUGCAUGUCAUCCAUGAGUGUCUAACAUUGAUAUGUCAAUAUAAGGACAGAAGGCUAGAGAACUUGUUUGAUCAUCAUUUGUCAGAAUGUUAUUUGAUCACAAAACUAUUAGUUUCCUGAUAUUUUACAAUCCUUUACACUUUAGUCCUUCAUGUCAUGCUACAAACAUGAUAAGUAGAUAUGAUGAAUCUUUUUUUUACUUUUACAAAUGAUAUAUAAUAAAUACACUUUUUUUAUGCUAUUUAUUGUAUAAGAAUAUGGUUGAGUGUUGACUGUAUGUAAAAGUAAAACUAACCAUAGAUGCCUAUUUCUCUUUAUGUCUUUCAUUCAAGCAUGUCAUCUCUGAGUUCAGAACUAAACUUUUAUUCAAGCAACGGGAAAAUGUUUACUACCUUUUCCAAAAUACUAAUGAAAUGGAUAGUGGGAAUCAAACCUAAAGCACAUUUCAACCCUAAUAGUCAUCAUACACUUUAGGAGUGUCUUCAAUAAUACAUUUCAUCUAAACUUACGAGUCCUGAAAUACUACACAUGUUUUCUUUUUUUUUGGCUAAAUACUACACAUGUUUAUAAAAGAAGGGAGUUCUGAAUAAAAUAACAUAGUCUUCUCCACUUCUCUUGUAAUUGCCUUCCAUGAUAUUGCCUUCUGGACAAUCCAUAUGAGCUGCUUUUUCCUGCUGCUGAUUUUUUUUUUCAUUGUUGAGAAAAGUCUUUGGACUGAUCACGCUCAAUUAUCAUUUUGGCCAGUGUACAUUUUCUUAUCUUGUUUACUGUUUGUGGAACUUUCUUUGUCCUCAUUCCAAGUAAUGCAAAUGAACAACAGUAUAGAUAUACCUUAAUUCAGCUAGUGCAGGAACGUUUUCUUCCCAAAACUAAUGUUUAUACUUUUUCAUUCCCAAACUACCGUUGAUACCCAAUUUGCCCUCAUACCAGUAAUGCAAAUGGAUUCCAUUAAAAGAAGACCAAGCUCAGUUAGUGAAUAUACCUUCUUUGGAUAUCUUUCUUUUCCCAAAGUAAUGGUGGUGCCCAGUUAGGUUGGACAGCGACCUAACAUAAACCCAAAGUUUCUUAUGUUUUUUUCUAAGAAAUAACCUGAACCUUAGUAAUAGCAAUAUGAUUAGUAAUCAUCUAAAUUUGAUGUUCUUAAAUAAUGAACAAGGUCCUUCUACUAUUUGGUUACGGAAUGGGAUUAGCUUUUUAAUGUUCAUCUUCAUGAAAGAACUCUUUAGAGAGAUGCAGAACGAGGAAGAGGAGGAUGCAAAAAUUAACUAAGCCAAGCCUCCAUUUCCUCCCAGCAGGAAGAAGCAAAUGUUAUUUGAAAGUGAAAGCGCUUCUCAAAAUAAAUUUUAUUUUUUUGAAUGUGGGGAACCAAGUCUAAUUUUUUCUUGAAGUCUUACAUUUCGGUUCUGUGGGACAAGUCACAAGUCAUUUGUUCUGAGCUUAUAACUUAUAAGGGUACUUGUUGAAACAUACCCUAAUUUGGAUCAUGGUAUUCUGUUUUCUAAUCUCUUACUAUUUGGUCUAGUGAUUAUUUUCAUUGUGAUCUUCUGCAGCUAACAAUUUGGAAGUUGAUGCUCUUUUUGUUUACACCAAGAAUGGGCACAUGGCAUCUCUCUUGUCACGCUGCCGCCCUGAUUGCCCAAUAUUUGCAUUUACAACGGCAACAUCUGUACGUAGACGCUUGAACCUGCAAUGGGGUCUAAUGCCUUUCCGCUUGAAUUACUCUGAUGAUAUGGAAAGCAACCUAAACAAAACUUUCUCCCUACUAAAAGCUCGGGGCAUGAUCAAGUCAGGUGACCUCAUCAUUGCUGUUUCCGAUAUGCUGCAGUCCAUUCAAGUUAUGAAUGUCCCAUGAGUGCACAACUUAGUUCUGUACUUGAGUUUUGAGCUUUGGCAACUUCAAUUAUAUGCCAAUAUUAAACUAUUAGAAAGUUCAACAAUUUGGUACUGCUAGGGAGAAAACAACAAUGAGCCUCAUCCUUUCCCGAGUGUGUCCCCAUUUCAGGUGGAUGGAUCUCGACGACAUUUGAUGUUACUGAAUUGCCAUGCACUUGUAGUCAACAUGGAUAUGUUGCAACAUGGUACCAAAGUAGAUUGUGUACUCCCCUGUUUUCCUAGGAUUCCGAAGAUGUAGCCUCUACUUGAGUUAUUUUGAGUUAGAUGUGUCAGUUUCCCUUAGAAAUAAUCGCGAAUAUUAUGAAUUAUGUUCUUACAACUGCUAUGAGUGUGUUGCCAUUGGUUUGCUUUUACUAUCUAUCGAUUUGGAUUUAAUAACAUUUGUCUCUAUUAAUAUUUUUCAUCUGAUUGUCUGAUUGAGAGGACAUUGCCUGUCUUUAUUUUUCAAAAGAAAGAGCAGUACAAUGGGAAAUUAUGAGCCUCACAAUUAGGUUAAAUGUAUGUGUAUAUAAUACUGGGCCUCUCGAGAAGAAGGUGCAUUUGAAAGUAGUCAUGUAUGACAAAGGAGCUUUUGUUUCUAGCA
rnacentral:lncRNA from 1 species